AACNAAGCANCUGCGAAUGGCUCAUUAUAUAAGUUAUCGUUUAUUUGAUAGUACCUUACUACAUGGAUAACCGUGGUAAUUCUAGAGCUAAUACAUGCUGAAAAUCCCGACUUCGGAAGGGAUGUAUUUAUUAGAUUCAAAACCAAUGCCCUUCGGGGCUCCAAUGGUGAUUCAUGAUAACUUCUCGAAUCGCACGGCCCCGCGCCGGCGAUGGUUCAUUCAAAUUUCUUCCCUAUCAACUUUCGAUGCUACGGUAGUGUCCUAGCAUGGUUGCAACGGGUAACGGGGAAUAAAUUUGAAUGAACCAUCGNCGGCGNGGGGCGUUCGAGAAGUUAUCUGAANCANCAUUGGAGNCCCGANGGGCUUUGGNUGAAUCNAUANUACAUCCUUNGANGUCGGGAUUCUCG
rnacentral:rRNA from 1 species